GGGCAAACAAGGUAACAAACAAGGAGGAAUUAGUGACUAAGGAGACGGGAACUAAACUGAAAGGAAACACAUGGAAACAUAUACACAUGAAAAAAAACAUUGAUACAUAACGUGAACCUAACAUUACUCCCCUCUCCCAGGCACGUCCUUGUAAACAACAGUCCCAGAGUAGAGAGAGGAAGGGAAACUUUUAGGUGGAUGAGGAGCUGGUGUAGGGGGCAGAGAACUGAAAGAACUUGCUGAGGGGAACACCAAAGUGGAGGAGAAGGAGGGCAGAGUCAAGAUUGAGCCCUGAGAAUAUUCCUGGACAAAGACUGAGGGCUGACCGACUGAUGAAGUGGAAACCCCACUGAAACCGGCAGGAUGACAACCAAGCGUGACAUCAAAGGCCAGGCAGUCCAAGGUGACACUACAGACUUGAGUGAUUGAGGUGGAGACGGAGGCCUGUCAGAACAGGGCGGCACCAGAGGGAGGAACAAGACAGAGCUGGAAGGAAGAAGAAACCUGGUGGGGAUGAAGGAGUGGAGGGUUGAGGUGCAGCUGGUGGUCUGGAAGUCCAUGGCGAAACCAGGAUAAUGAGAGACCAAGGCGUGGACGGAGGAACGAGGGAGCCUGAGUGAUGGCGGACCAUGGUGGAGCUGAGGGAGGGCUGACAGGCCAAGGUGGAGAAAUGGACCUGGAGGCUAGAGGGUAGCCAGAGUCAGCGUGCAGUCGGAUCUCAGCAGAUCAGGCUGGCUCACGGAUGGACUGUCCGGAUUUUCUGACUGUAUGGCAGAUCUUGCUGAAAACACUUUUUGAGCAGCCUGCAGAUUGCUCUAAUUAUCAUAAUAUCUAUUUUUGCAGGAACUCGAUCAGAGUUUAGUAAUGAGUGCUGCAUUUUAAUGUGACUUGUCAAGUUACAAAUGGUUAUUUUUAAUGUAGCUUAUUAAAAGAUGCAGAUGUCUCAAGAGUCAAAAAAAGAUAAGAACAUUCUUAAGUAUUUUUUUGGAAAUACUAAAUAUUCAAAGAAAAUUCUUAAUUUAAAAAUUAUAAGAAGAAAAUAGCAGUUAAGAUGAAUUUUAUUCUUAAGAAUAUUGCUUGAAUCAGGGCCCAGAUUUCUUCGGUGUUCAGAGUUUUAUAAAUUGGCUCCAAUCAUAAUAUAAAAUGUGUGCAGUGUAUGUCUAAAUCAGGAGUUCCUCUUUCACUGAAGGGGUUUUUGUACGGCUCUGUAUCACUGUGUUAAUGGAAAUUCAUAAUACUGCUGACAGUAAUAAUCUCCUGCAUCUUCAGGCUGAACAUUUCUAAUAUUGAGCAUGAAGUUUGUUCCUGAUCUCCCAUCAGUGAAUCUCUCAGAAACUCCAGACACUUUGCUACCAACACUAGAGAACAGGAGUUUGGGUGUUUGUCCAGGUUUCUGGUGAUACCAGGCUAAGCUGGAUGUAAAACUAGAACUGCUGGACCUGCAGUUGAGAGUGACGCUGUUUCCCACAGACACUUGAUUCACGGAUGGACUCUGAGUCAGAAUGAUCUCAGCAAAACAACCUGCCGUCACAACACCAUCAGUCAGUGUUACAGUCAAACACACGAUACAUGAGAAGAAUGUUACAACAUUUAUAAGGCACUUCUAAAACUCUGAAUAUUAAACAGUAAUCUCACCAGCAAGAGAAAGCAGCAGAGAGCAGAUGAUCAGAGCGUUUGCAGUCAUCUUUGAUAAGAAUGAGUGAGAACAGACGAGACCUGCUGUUUAUAGUCCUGACCGGAGGACAGUCCGUCUGAAACAGAGGGGUGGUGCACUUAUUCAAAGCUGCUUCCUUUCAGAAGAAAAUCUGUCACACUGAUUUAAAAAAACAAAAAAAACAAACUUAAAUUCUGUUUAAAUAGAUAUUAAAUGUUAUUUCUCCACUUAUUAA